CGGUCAGCAGCCGCCCGACGGCAACCCCACCCGGGGGAGGCCGCCGGGGCUGUGGGGGCGCUUCUCCACAGGCGGGCAGGGCUGGCAGGGCCCUCGGGCUGCUUGCCCAGCCGUGAAUUUGGGUAGUACCCGGGUCCUCGCUGUGUUCAGACCCGGAGCAUCCUCUGCAUGUGCCGAGGCUGGAGCUAACGGGACCAGCGUUGUGGAGAAAGUUUAAAAUAAAUGAUCUCUGGCAGGUGUGACAGUUUCUGAGCUGCUGUUGCAGGUGAGAAGACGCCUCCAGCCUGCUUUCUGCUUCCCCAGAAGCUGUUGUCUCAAGGUGCAGAUACACUGAUCUGGAGAAACACCAGCUUGUUUAACUGGGAAAUGGUUUCAUAAGCUAGGGCUUCAUCCCACCCCACACUUGAUGGAAGGGGUUGUAUAAAUGCGUAUCUGCAAUGACUCAGACACACACCUCUGCUGGCCUGGCCAAGUGCAAGGUUGAGUGUCCAGCUUAGUCUCUGGAUCCUGUGGAACGUGGAGAGCUCGAUAGCUUCUUCAGCAGAGCAUGGGAGCUCCCAUCACCCCGUGUUCUGGAAAUGUGUGCUGGCAGCUGCGGGGGUCAGAAGCCUGGAAGGAGAGAGGAUAAACGGAUGAUGCACAGUGAAAGCACGCACAGAUGAGGAACGAAACUGCACCCAGAACUGUGUUAACAUUUAUGUGGCUCAGCUUUUCCCUAGAGCUACUGGCCAUUUGGUCAUGUGCAGAUGCACCUGCUCCUGCUCUAACAUGGCCGUGGUGCCAACAGUUGAUUUCAUUUUGCUUUAAGUUGGUUGAGAAGUAAAGCUAUUACAGAACCAAA